rnacentral:rRNA from 1 species
GGUGGGGUAAUGGCCCACCAAGCCGAAGAUCGGUACGGGCUGUGAGAGCAGGAGCCCGGAGAUGGACACUGAGACACGGGUCCAGGCCCUACGGGGCGCAGCAGGCGCGAAACCUCCGCAAUGCGGGAAACCGCGACGGGGGGACCCCCAGUGCCGUGGCAUCGCCACGGCUUUUCCGGAGUGUAAAAAGCUCCGGGAAUAAGGGCUGGGCAAGGCCGGUGGCAGCCGCCGCGGUAAUACCGGCGGCCCAAGUGGUGGCCGCUAUUAUUGGGCCUAAAGCGUCCGUAGCCGGGCCCGUAAGUCCCUGGCGAAAUCCCACGGCUCAACCGUGGGGCUUGCUGGGGAUACUGCGGGCCUUGGGACCGGGAGAGGCCGGGGGUACCCCUGGGGUAGGGGUGAAAUCCUAUAAUCCCAGGGGGACCGCCAGUGGCGAAGGCGCCCGGCUGGAACGGGUCCGACGGUGAGGGACGAAGGCCAGGGGAGCGAACCGGAUUAGAUACCCGGGUAGUCCUGGCUGUAAAGGAUGCGGGCUAGGUGUCGGGUGAGCUUCGAGCUCGCCCGGUGCCGUAGGGAAGCCAUUAAGCCCGCCGCCUGGGGAGUACGGCCGCAAGGCUGAAACUUAAAGGAAUUGGCGGGGGAGCACUACAAGGGGUGGAGCGUGCGGUUUAAUUGGAUUCAACGCCGGAAACCUUA